rnacentral:rRNA from 1 species
AGGAAUUUUGCGCAAUGGGGGGAACCCUGACGCAGCAACGCCGCGUGAGUGAAGAAGGCCUUCGGGUCGUAAAGCUCUGUCGAGUGGGAAGAACCUUCGUAUGUUGAAUAUGCAUACGGACUGACGGUACCACAGAAGGAAGCACCGGCUAACUCCGGGCCAGCAGCCGCGGUAAUACAAAA